rnacentral:piRNA from 1 species
UAAAUAGAACUGUGAGACCUGCU